AGAAAUACCAGCAUCACGGAGGCUGGCGACUAUGGAGGCGAACGCUAACCCAAAGACUGGUAUAACAUAUGCGAUGCUUCAAAGGCCAUUUCUCGCUGUCCAGACCAUCUCCUCCAAAAACCUGCAACGGAGAACCCCUGGCUGUUGAAGAUGGACUUAAGAGAUAGAAAAAGACAUGGCUCUGCAUACUCAUAUAAUCAUGUAUAUUAUUUGUACUCUCAAUUCCUCUAGUUUUGUCAAAAUCAUAUAUCUGAUUUUGACAAAACUAGAGGAAUUAGAAUAACAAUGUUCAGAGUAGAUACUUCAUUUGUCCGAGUCCGUACUGUUUGUACAGGCAGUUUUAAAUAUGAAACUGAAAUUGUUUUUAUGCAAAAUUUUAUUGAAUGUACUUGCAUGAGUUCAUCUAUGCUUGAAGUAUUACAAAAUAAAUUACCUAAGACAAA